UUUGAUACAUGGGGGUUGUGCGGGGCGGGGGGCAGGGGACCCGCCCUCUCUCCAAACACUAGCAGGGCCGGGGCGCCUGGGCAGGCACGUGUCCGGGCACAACCCGCUGCCCACGCUGCCCCCCCACUCCCGCCCCCCCCCGCUCUGGCCAGGACACGUCGCUCUCUUACUUGGGUGGGGUGGGAGGAGGGGAGAGAAAGCUGGAAAUGGAAAGCAGCGCCCCCCACCCCUCUGAAUGGCCAACCUCGGCCAGCGGUGCGCACUAGGUUUCUACCACACAGCGACCCCCACUCUGCUCAGGGCAGGUGCGCCGGCGCCGGCGGCAAGACCGCUGGAGUCUUACUAUAUCGCUCCUGCUGUUCUCCACCUCCGGGGAUCAAAUUGCCCACGUCAGCUUCCGGAAUCGAAGGGAAGAUAGAUGUGUGUGUGCUACCCACCUGGCAAGCCCUAAAGUUGAGAUGUGGAAACGUGGGUGCACUGAAUGUCUGUUCUACUAAAGAGUGUUGUUCUUCUGACCUUGGGAUGAAUCGCUUCCCUUCUUGGGCCUGUUUAUUCAAGUUAAUGUGAAAUAAUCCCCUUUAACAUUAGUUAUCUUUCCUA
ensembl:antisense Gm15417 predicted gene 15417